rnacentral:tRNA from 1 species
GCUGACGUGGCACAGUCGGUAGCGCACCUCCUUGGUAAGGAGGAGGUCGGCGGUUCAAGUCCGCUCGUCAGCUCCA